rnacentral:tRNA from 1 species
GGAGGGGUUGCAUAGUCCGGUUUAAUGCGGCGGUUUGCUAAACCGUUGUACUGCUGAAAGGCGGUACCGAGAGUUCAAAUCUCUCCCCCUCCGCCA